UGCUGCAUUCAGUUCAGUGGUUUUGGUGUUCACUGAUUCUGUAUAGUAUUUGACUUGUAUUCACUUAUAUUUACCUAUUUCGGUUAUCUUUAUUGGUUCAGAGCUUGACAGCAGUGGAGUUCUCUAGCAAUUCUUUAACUAGUCUUUCCCUUGCUGGUUGUCGUGCUAUUACUUCACUGGAACUAACUUGCCCAUAUCUGAUGGAUGCGAUCAUCUUGAACGAGCAACCUUCAGUCCCGUUGGCCUGAAUUCUCUUAAUUUGGGAAUCUGUCCAAAACUGAAUACACUGAAGAUUGAAGCACCGACUAUGGUGUUACUCGAACUGAAAGGGUGUGGUGUCUUAUCAGAAGCAUCUAUAAAUUGCCCACUGCUAACAUCUCUGGAUGCUUCUUUUUGCCGCCAAUUGAAGGACGACUGCUUAUCUGCAACGACUGCUUUGUCUCCCCUUAUUGAAUCACUAAUUUUGAUGUCAUGCCCAUCUGUUGGCUCGGAUGGACUCAUAUCACUACGAUGCCUUCCUAAUUUGACAUCGCUGGAUCUUUCUUACACCUUCUUAACCAACUUGCAGCCUGUAUUUGAUUCCUGUUUGCAGUUAAAGGUAUGUGUUACAUUGAGAUAGUUGUUCUUUGUACCAAAGUUCAAUCAACAAAGGUGAUUGAACUUUGUCCUGUAUCUGUAUUUGAUUCCUUUUUUUUGUAGUUGUUCUUCUAUUGACGUUUGAUCUUUUAGUUAUUCGUUAA